rnacentral:lncRNA from 1 species
AAUAGGACCCUUAAAUGGUAACUCCUUGGAGGAGGAAACUGCCACUUUUCACACACUUCUCUUACAGUAUAAUGCAAUUUGGACUGAAGAUGCCAUGAAAAUACUACUAAUAACAGAUUGAGCAACUACAUCAGGCAAAUCAAGGAGCGCCAUCCUUUUUUCAGCAUAAAGGGAUCAAAGAAUACCAGCACUGGUGUUAGAUUCAGAUAUGGAAACCAGAGUAAUUUUGACACCAGAACAUUUAAGACUGUGCCCUCUGGCUCUGUCAGUUGCUGCCUGGAGGGAGAGACCCACCCCCACCUGGCUACAGGCAACUUCCUGGACUGCCUCUUUUCUGCUGUAUCAAGUUCCCAGCAGAUGCCUGAGAGAUGCAGCCCAUCCAGUUCCAGCAGACCAGGUGCCAUAGAAGUUGCCUCAUGAUCAAAGAACCCAAAAUUCUACUGAUGACACAAACUUUUGAGCAACUUGUUGAUAAUGUGGGCUCUCCUAUUCCUUUCAUCAUUUUUCUCCACCACUAAGAGGACUGAGCAGAACAUUAUCUGUGCUCUUGCCCUAUCAAACACUUGACCCAGUGCCCAAAAGUACCUUUUAAUUACCCUGACACUCCUCUUUUCAGUCUCAUCACUGCCAGCCUGGAGUAUCAACAGUGGGUAAUAAUCAGAGGGCUGAAUCAGCCCAGGGAGUUUCUCAGUAACAUCUUGCACCCAGGCCCCAGGGAGGCAGCAGACCUCCCUGUGGGAUGGGUCUGGUUGAUAUAUGGAGCCCUCUGCUCCCCUCAGGAAGGAGUCACUCUGUAGUAGUUGCUCUAAAUUUCAUUACAUCAGGCAUGACAUGAUAACCAAACUGCCUCUGAUUGGGUCCUGGCAAGAUUUCCCAGUGAGUCAAUGUCUAACUUUAGCAAAAUCAAAAGGGAUUUUUGCAUUGUUAUAGAAUCAGACAAGCACUGGGGACUGGCAAACUGUGACUAAAGCAGGUGCUUGUCAUAUGUGAACCCACCACAUUUUCAUGAGUGCCAGGUCUUAAGAGCUGAGAUUAACCUGAAAUCCAUGCAGAUAAAUUAAUUAUGAUAUUCUC